rnacentral:lncRNA from 1 species
UGGGUAUCACCAGUGUCAAAAGAAGGGCAAAGGGACCCCAGCCCGGACUCCUGCCUGUGACAGCAGACUGGGACGAGACCUUCACAGACUCGAGAUCUCAGUCAGCUGUGCAAGGAGGAGGCUGGGCCCGCGAUGGCUCAGGGGAAACGUGGCGGCAGAGUCUGACCCCUCAGCAGGACACCGGCCGACGCCCCCGCAAAGAUCCACGUGCUCAGAGUGAAGAAAGAGAAGUUACAGUCUAACAUUCUAGACGGAGCCACGUUGCCCGUCAAGGGUGGGGAAAAUAAAGGCGUGUCAGGACUGCCCAGGUGCCUUCCAAAACGUUACACAUGCACUUGCUGCGGUGAAACAAGGGGACUCCGGGAGAGGAAAUGAC